GACGAACGCUGGCGGCGUGCUUAACACAUGCAAGUCGAGCGGUAAGGCCCUUUCGGGGGUACACGAGCGGCGAACGGGUGAGUAACACGUGGGUGACCUGCCCUUAGCUCUGGGAUAAGCCUGGGAAACUGGGUCUAAUACCGGAUAUGACUCCAUGACGCAUGUUGUGGGGCGGAAAGCCUUGUGCGGCUAGGGAUGGGCCUGCGGCCUAUCAGCUUGUUGGUGGGGUGAUGGCCUACCAAGGCGACGACGGGUAGCCGGCCUGAGAGGGCGACCGGCCACACUGGGACUGAGACACGGCCCAGACUCCUACGGGAGGCAGCAGGUGGGGAAUCUUGCGCAAUGGGCGAAAGCCUGACGCAGCGACGCCGCGUGGGGAUGA
rnacentral:rRNA from 1 species